rnacentral:rRNA from 1 species
CUACGGGUCGCUGCAGUGGGGAAUAUUGGACAAUGGGGAAACCCUGAUCCAGCAAUGCCGCGUGUGUGAAGAAGGCCUGCGGGUUGUAAAGCACUUUCGGUUGGGAGGACUGCUUCUAGCACUAAUAUUGUUGGAAGUUGACGUUACCUUCAGAAGAAGCACCGGCUAACUCCGUGCCAGCAGCCGCGGUAAUACGGAGGGUGCAGGCGUUAAUCGGAAUUACUGGGCGUAAAGCGCGCGUAGGCGGCUAGAUCAGUCGGGUGUGAAAGCCCCGGGCUUAACCUGGGAACUGCAUCCGAUACUGUCUAGCUUGAGUACAGGAGAGGAGAGUGGAAUUCCACAUGUAGCGGUGAAAUGCGUAGAUAUGUGGAGGAACACCAAUGGCGAAGGCAGCUCUCUGGCCUGAUACUGACGCUGAGGUGCGAAAGCGUGGGGAGCAAACAGGAUUAGAUACCCUCGUAGUC